GAGAAGGGUCACUUUAUUGCUGAGUGCAUGGCGGAGCUUUGUACCUCGUGUGGUAAGACUGCUCAUGUCAUGGGGGAUUGCCCGGUUAUGCGUGAUCAGGCUCCUGCUCUCACGAUGUAUGGAGUGUACUGUGCCGAGCUCACGUUCUUUGAGUCUCCGGCGGCGAGGGAGACUCUGGCUGAACCUCAGAGUUUGACUACUGGGCUUGUGAAGGCUACACGAGAAGUGGUUUCUGAGGCUCAAAUUGUGCAGCGACUUCAGGAACUGGCUCCAGGUGAUUUUCAGUGGGAGCUCGUCCCGAUUGAGGAUAAUGUGUUUCGGGUUGAUUUCCCAACGGUGGAAGAUUUGCAGAAGCUGCUGAGUUUUGGGUUGUGCAAGGUGCCGGGUACUAAGUGCGUCCUGGAGUUUCACGAGUGGAAGAAGGUGGAGCCUAAGGGAAAGCCGCUCACUCAGGUGUGGCUGCGGUUUUCAGGGGCCCCAUCUGAGUCCUUGUCAGAUGCUCGAGUUGUGGCGAGUUUGGGUAUGUUGGUUGGUAAGACUGAGGAUGUGGACAUGGCUUUCACCCGCGCACAUGGGGUGGCA
rnacentral:rRNA from 1 species